rnacentral:rRNA from 1 species
UACGAAGGGGGCGAGCGUUGUUCGGAAUUACUGGGCGUAAAGGGCGCGUAGGCGGCGUGACAAGUCACUUGUGAAAUCUCUGGGCUUAACCCAGAACGGCCAAGUGAAACUGUUGUGCUAGAGUGCAGAAGGGGCAAUCGGAAUUCUCGGUGUAGCGGUGAAAUGCGUAGAUAUCGAGAGGAACACCAGAGGUGAAGACGGGUUGCUGGGCUGACACUGACGCUGAGGCGCGAAAGCCAGGGGAGCAAACGGG